rnacentral:rRNA from 1 species
AUUGAACGCUGGCGGCAGGCUUAACACAUGCAAGUCGAGCGAGCGCCGGACGGGUGAGUAAUGUCUGGGAAACUGCCUGAUGGAGGGGGCUAACUACUGGAAACGGUAGCUAAUACCGCAUACCCUCAGAUGUGCCCAGUUGGGAUUCGCUAGGAGGGUGGGUACUGGCUCACCUAGUCGACGAUCCCUAGCGGGUCUGCGAGGAUGACUAGCCAGACUGGGACUGUGGCUAGGUCCAGACUCCUACGUGAGGCAGUAGGGGGGAAGAUUGCACAAUGGGCGCAAGCCGGAUGCAGCAAUGCCGCGUGUGUGAAGAAGGCCUUCGGGUUGUAAAGCGUUGUCAUGGAGGAGGCGUUACGCGCAUAAGAAGCACCGGCUAACUCCGUGCCAGCAGCCGCGGUAAUUC